rnacentral:rRNA from 1 species
CACGUAGGGGGCAAGCGUUGUCCGGAUUUAUUGGGCGUAAAGAGCUCGUAGGCGGCUCAGUAAGUCAGGUGUGAAACCUCCAGGCUCAACCUGGAGACGCCACCUGAUACUGCUGUGGCUAGAGUCCGGUAGGGGAGCGGUGGAAUUCCGUGGUGUAGCGGUGAAAUGCGCAGAUAUCAGGAAGAACACCCGUGGCUAAGGCGGCUCUCUAGUACGGUACUGACGCUGAGACGCGAAAGCGUGGGGAGCGAACAGG